rnacentral:rRNA from 1 species
GACGAACGCUGGCGGCGUGCCUAACACAUGCAAGUCGAGCGAUGAAGUUUCUUCGGAAACGGAUUAGCGGCGGACGGGUGAGUAACACGUGGGUAACCUGCCUUGUAGUGGGGGAUAGCCUUUCGAAAGGAAGAUUAAUACCGCAUAACAUGGAAAUCUCGCAUGAGGAUUUCAUCAAAGGAGCAAUCCGCUACAAGAUGGACCCGCGGCGCAUUAGCUAGUUGGUGAGGUAACGGCUCACCAAGGCGACGAUGCGUAGCCGACCUGAGAGGGUGAUCGGCCACAUUGGGACUGAGACACGGCCCAGACUCCUACGGGAGGCUG